UGCGGGGUCGUCUAGCGGCUAGGACGCUGGCCUCAUAAGCCAGAGAUCGAGGGUUCGAGUCCCUCCCCCGCUACCA
rnacentral:tRNA from 1 species